ensembl:miRNA Mir7115 microRNA 7115
GUCGGGGGUUGUGGUGCAGAAUUGUCUGUGUCACCCAAAGCCACUUGGUCCCCUGCUCCCACAG